AUUGAACGCUGGCGGCAGGCCUAACACAUGCAAGUCGAACGGUAACAGGAAGCAGCUUGCUGCUUUGCUGACGAGUGGCGGACGGGUGAGUAAUGUCUGGGAAACUGCCCGAUGGAGGGGGAUAACUACUGGAAACGGUAGCUAAUACCGCAUAACGUCGCAAGACCAAAGAGGGGGACCUUAGGGCCUCUUGCCAUCGGAUGUGCCCAGAUGGGAUUAGCUAGUAGGUGGGGUAACGGCUCACCUAGGCGACGAUCCCUAGCUGGUCUGAGAGGAUGACCAGCCACACUGGAACUGAGACACGGUCCAGACUCCUACGGGAGGCAGCAGUGGGGAAUAUUGCACAAUGGGCGCAAGCCUGAUGCAGCCAUGCCGCGUGUAUGAAGAAGGCCUUCGGGUUGUAAAGUACUUUCAGCGGUGAGGAAGGGAGUAAAGUUAAUACCUUUGCUCAUUGACGUUACCCGCAGAAGAAGCACCGGCUAACUCCGUG
rnacentral:rRNA from 1 species